rnacentral:miRNA from 1 species
UGUGUGUGUGUGUGUGUGUGUGUGUGUGUGUAUGUGUAUCAGCAUCUGGCGCACGCACGCGCACACACACACACACACC